UCGCUUUGUCCAGCUGCGUCAUUGCAAGGCAGGGACGCAGAAAAACUAAACGACCGACCGUCAUUUUCUAAAGGCAGAUCUUCCCCUUCAGAAUCAGGAUCAGCGAAUAAAAGACCCAACACAUCGUCGCAGCUUUAUAGCCACAGCAUCAGAGGAAGUCACCAAGCCACCUGUUGCCUGACACAGCUCACUGAUGAGUGGAAAUAUGAAGAUGAGCAAUUUCACCCAGCUGUACACAGGGAUUCUGUAUUUUAAUGGAUAUGAAGAUGUGGCUGCAUUGGUCUGGGAUCCUGGUGCAGAACAGUGCAGGACCUGGAAGGAAGGCAAAACAUAUUCAGUAUGGUGUUCACUGACGCAAGCAACAACACUGCAGCUGGCUCAUUCCAAUUGCUUAUUUUUCACUUCUUUCUUCCUUUCCUUUCUCCUUGCUCAUAACUCUACACAUCAGUGACUGACACGACACAUGCAUGGCAAGUGUGGGGAAUUGGAUCCACAGGUCAGUCAUUUAUAGGUCACGCAUUCCAAAAUAAAAUUAUUCCACAAAGGUU